rnacentral:rRNA from 1 species
AUUGAACGCUGGCGGCAUGCUUUACACAUGCAAGUCGGACGGCAGCACAGAGAAGCUUGCUUCUUGGGUGGCGAGUGGCGCACGGUUGAGUAAUAUAUCGGAACGUACCGAGUCAUGGGGGAUAACUAAUCUAAAGAUUAUCUAAUACCGCAUAUUCUCUGAGGCGGAAAGCAGGGGACCUUCCGGCCUUGCGUUAUUCUAGCGGCCGAUAUCUGAUUAGCUAGUUGGUGGGGUAAAGGCCUACCAAGGCGACGAUCAGUCGCGGGUCUGAGAGGAUGAUCGGACACACUGGGACUGAGACACGGCCCAGACUCAUACGGGAGGCAGCAGUGGGGAAUAUUGGAAAAUGGGCGCAAGCCAGAACCAGCCAUGCCGCGUGUCUGAAGAAGGCCUUCGGGUUGUAAAGGACUUUUGUCAGGGAAGAAAAGGCUGUUGCUAAUACCGACAGCUGAUGACGGUACAUGAAGAAUAAGCACCGGCUAAAUACGUG